UAGGGAAUCUUCCACAAUGGGCGGAAAGCCUGAUGGAGCAACGCCGCGUGUGUGAUGAAGGGUUUCGGCUCGUAAAACACUGUUGUAAGAGAAGAAUGACAUUGAGAGUAACUGUUCAAUGUGUGACGGUAUCUUACCAGAAAGGAACGGCUAAAUACGUGCUAG
rnacentral:rRNA from 1 species